GAAAUGCGAUAAGUAGUGUGAAUUGCAGAAUUUAGCGAAUCAUCGAAUCUUUGAACGCACAUUGCGCCCUCUGGCAUUCCGGGGGGCAUGCCUGUCCGAGCGUCAUUACGCACCCUCAAGCCCGGCUUGUGUGAUGGGCCCUGGCGUCUCGUUCGCGAGACGGGCCCGAAAGGCAGCGGCGGCGUCGACCCGAUGAGCCCGAGCGUAUGGGGACUUUUGUCACACGUUUGUGGUGCGGACCGGCGCCUGCUUGACUUUUCUGAUUAUCCAGGUUGACCUCGGAUCAGGUAGGGAUACCCGCUGAACUUAAGC
rnacentral:misc_RNA from 1 species